rnacentral:rRNA from 1 species
AGCGAACGCUGGCGGCAGGCCUAACACAUGCAAGUCGAACGAACCUUUCGGGGUUAGUGGCAGACGGGUGAGUAACACGUGGGAACGUGCCUUUAGGUUCGGAAUAACUCAGGGAAACUUGUGCUAAUACCGAAUGUGCCCUUCGGGGGAAAGAUUUAUCGCCUUUAGAGCGGCCCGCGUCUGAUUAGCUAGUUGGUUGAGGUAAUGGCUCACCAAGGCGACGAUCAGUAGCUGGUCUGAGAGGAUGAUCAGCCACAUUGGGACUGAGACACGGCCCAAACUCCUACGGGAGGCAGCAGUGGGGAAUCUUGCGCAAUGGGCGAAAGCCUGACGCAGCCAUGCCGCGUGAAUGAUGAAGGUCUUAGGAUUGUAAAAUUCUUUCACCGGGGACGAUAAUGACGGUACCCGGAGAAGAAGCCCCGGCUAACUUCGUG